GGAAUAUAAGAACCCGUCUCUUAACUUUUAACUAAAAAAACUAAGAACCGGUUCUUAAAUAAGAGUUUUAAGAGCUGGUUUUUAAUUUUUUUAGUUAAAAGUUAAGAGACGGAUUCUUAUGUUCC
rfam:Brassica napus, WGS project CCCW01000000 data, contig: 7360